CAGGGUGGCUCGCAACAAUAAAAUAGAUACAAUGUAAAUUAAAAGUAAUAAAAUUAACCAACUUAAGUAAACAAGUUAAAAGUCAGGCUAAAACCACAAUCAGAAUUAUGUUUCAAAUAAAAAGUUAUUUUAAAAGCUAAAAAAAUGAGAAACAUAAGAACUAAGAAGUAAAGAACCUACCAGAUAUAACCAGAGAUGGAACAUUCAAAGCCUCUUUAAAAAGAUGUGUUUUUAGAUUAUUAUUUUUUAAAAAAAAAAAACACUGAGGAAGGGAGCAUGGGGAAGAUCUUCAGGGAGGGCGUUCCAAAGCCAAGGGGGCACAACCAAAAAGGCCCUUUUUCUAGUCCUCACCAACGGGAGCUCAGCUGAUGCAGGGCCAUGAGCAGGGCCUGAGAUGAUGAGUGGAGGGCCCUGGAACGUUCAUAUGGCUAAAUGUGGUCUAACAGGAACCCCAGCCCAAGCCAUGUAGAGUUUUAAAGGUCAAGACCCGCACCUUGAAUCUAGCCCAGAAGCAAACCAGUAACCAAUGAAGCUGUGAAACUUGUGAAGUGACUUGCACCCACAAACAUCCUUGCAGCAGCAUUCUGGACCAGGUGAAGCUUCUGAAUCAUCUUCAAGGGCAGCCCCACAUAGAGCACAUUGCAGUAGUCCAAUCUGGAUGUUACCAACACAUGAGUGACCAAAACAAGAUAUUUCCCUCUGUCACUAGUUGCCUUUUUAAAGUUUUAUUAUUUCGCCCAUAGGGAAUAAUGAGGAUUAGGUUCUCUGAUGUCACAUAGAUUCUACAUAAUGAAUCCCUAUGUAUAAUCAAUGUGCCAUCAGAGAAUCCAACACUAUUGACAACACAGAAUCCACACAUGUUGGAUUCUCUGAUGGCACACAGAUUAUCCAUAGGGAUUCAUUAUGUGGAAAAAUGGGCCAGAAAAAUGGGUCAGGGGACUGAAGCCAGGCUAGCCUGCUGGGCAACAAACAGGAGGGAAGAUUAGGGCUCCACUCAUUACACUUUUCUUUUUAAGAACACUACAGCCAGUCAGGAAAUAAAAUACUUAAAUAUUGUCAAGAUAGAUAGAUAGAUAGAUAGAUAGAUGCCCAGACAGGCAGCGUGCUUCCAAAGGAAAAACUGGAAGGAAGCAGCUGCUUCAAUAAUCAGAUUAAUUAAUUAAUUAAAUUAUAUUGAUUCUCCUGGGUGUGCCUUGGAAUGUGCGUCCCAGCGCCCAGCUGAUUGGCGGAGGGGUCUGAUUGGCUGAGGCGCACACAGGAAGAUUGGUCGCCGUGGCAGCGGCAGGCCUGGCUGCAGAAGCCAGAGGCAGUGGUGGGCCUUUGGGGACAGGGAGCCAUCUUAUUUGUUUGUUAUUUCUCUGUGUAAACCGCCUGAGCCAUUUUUGGAAGGGUGGUAUAGAAUUUGAAUGAAUGGAUGAACCAUCAAACCGGGGUGGCUCUAUCUAGAACUGCUUCACACAUCCCUAGUUUGGAUUUCUCACAACUUUGGACCUGGGUACAGUUAAUGACAACAUUGAGAAUUUCCCCUAAAUGUUAUGGGGUGGAGGUAUCAACAUGAUGCUGCAAGUGUUGGCAGAAGAUCCCCGUCUGCCGUAACUGAUAACUCACCCUAAGUCAUGCUCUUUGAAAUAAGAAGCAAGAUGCCACCACCAUUCAAGCUAAGAAUUAAUUGGAAAAAUACCACUAAGUGAUCCUCCAUGCCUGCUGAGGUCAAUGGGUCAUCCUGAUGCAGCCUCCAAGACUGUUUUCCAAGGAUUUUGCUUCCGACACUUUUAAAUGAAGAAUGACAAUAUGAGCAUCUCUUAUUUGGUUUGGAGGCAAGUAGGAGAUGAUUUUUUCUCAUCAGAGCAAAUAUUAUGUUUGCUCAGAACUUUUUAGAAGCCUCUUGCGAAAAUUUGACCAAGGGGAAAAAAUGCCCGAGGCAGCUCCCAACUAUCAAAACAGGGCUCUGUCUUUUAUAACCUUUGAACUGAUAUUGAAAGUUGAUGAAAAUUUUCUUCUCCCUACACCCUGUGCAGGAAGGGUUGCACAUUUUCUUAUGAGUUUUCUAACAAUGUGUUUAAAACGUCAAGCUCAAUUACACAGAGAAAAUAACUGUCGUCAUCAUCUCCAGAAAUUUUCUAGGUUACCUGACUCCUCCAUGGCUUAAGGCAACCAGCCUUUUUUGUUUAUCAUUUUGCUUCAUAAAAACACACCAAAAAAGUCUGUGUUUGAGGCAGAAUUUAUUGCUCGUAUCUGGAGCUCAUGUGGUGGAAAGAUAUCUGUAGGAGGUCCAGUCUUUCUUGUUCAUCUAGCUGAGAAAAGAAUUUCAAAGUCGAGGUCACAGCAAGCAGUGCAAACCCAUACAUUCGCCAUGAGUGAUGGUCAAGUCACACACAAGCACACACUACACACACACACCAUCUUCUCCCUCCCCAAUUCACAGAACACUGAAAAAUAACUUUUCCUCAUAUUCCUGCAUAUGGAAAGUAAAUUCAGCUGCUAAUAUAUUUUGCACCCCUGUAUAAUUUCCUUAGCCAUUAUGGACCUUGGGAGGUCAUCUCACUUUCCUCCAACUACAUACUAGCCUAAACACUGUGGCUGACAUCUAGAUUAAGUUAUUCAGUAGUAUUAGUCAGGAGUUCUCUAAAUUUAAAAGACUACUUGAUUUCAAUAGGACUCUCCAGAAUAAUUUUGUCUGGAUGUGAGCCUGUAUUUCUAUAUUUCACCAAAUAGUGGAAACCCAGUAGCCUUAUUCACGUGAUGGUAGAUAAUCAAUGUGUGGUAAGAGUUGGAUCAUGCCUGCAGUCUUGCCGGGAUCACAAGAGAGCCUAUGUUGGUACAGGCUGUAUGUGUGUAGGCUCUCUCAGUGUGAUUUUGCAGAACCCCCAAUACAGAGUGUGCACGUAUGUGCCUAGUCACUCUUCACAAUUUGCCUAAGCACAUGGCAAAUAGGGUGGGGGGAUCCAUGGGGGAUAUUUCACUUCCUUACUCACCAUGCAUUCAUGUUCCUCUAUGAAUAGAGUUAUAAUGCCCUUAUGGCAUCAGAGCUAUUGAAACAACUGCAUGGCUUACUUUAUUGUUUGUUCUAUGCGGAUAUUCGUAAUAGAUUUAUUUCUCCAUAUUUAGUAAAGUAUCCCGGCCAUACUGAUAUGUUUUCUCUUCAGCAUUUCCUGUCUAAUUACAAUGAUCCAGUUAUGUAUGUUGCUUAUUUGGCUGGUUGAUGAUCGUAAUAAAUGAAUCUAAUCUAAUAGAGUUAUAUGGUACACUUUCACACCUUCUGGAAAGUUUGGUUGUCAUGUCAUGUGGGAAAUAGCAAACACCCUUUCAGCAGUACUACUGAGAAGAUGGUUCAGUUCUUGCUCAACCAUUCUCCAAACCACCACCCCCAUCUCAUAGGGAAGCCAUAAUUCCAAAGAUAUUUUCCCUAUCAAAUUUUCUUCCCUUUAAGCCCUAUGAACCAAUCCAGUCCAGAGCUACUGACAAAUCCACAAAAUAAAGCAGACCACCCAGCCUAUUAUAAGAAGCAUAGGAAUAAACUCUUUGUACAAUCAUUUCUUCUCCUUAUCCAUGCACAUUAAUUUUGGGUUGAAAAGACCAACCUUUUCAAACUGGGUUGAAGUAACGACCAAAAGUGGA